UCCUUUGAUUAGUACUGUGCAGAUUUUUCUUAUUAGGAAAAUUGAAAUCUUCAGAAGCAGGUCCGAAUGUUUUAAGAACCAUUCUACUAUGACUUGAUCGGAUUUCGGAAGAUUGAGAUAUCAUGUAGAUAAAAAAAAAAACGAUCAUCUGUUUAGCUACCAUCUCGACGCCAGCAACAGGACGGCUGCCACUCCCGGUAUCAGAUGCAUUCCUAAUUCCUACUUUAAUCUCUCCUGCGUUUAUUGAGCCACCCGUUAUAGUAGAACGGCAGUUAGACAAACACAUUCUGAAACGUACAUACAAAAAAGUUAUUAGAUAAUCAACAUUCUCCAUAUAGCUAUUUAUAAAUUGUUACCCUGGAACUGAUGUCCCUUUGCAAGCACGGGGUCUUGAUGCACCAUCUCGAUCAUUGACACGUUCAAUGAUAAAAAACAGGGCAAGUAUGAAUAAUUUCUAUUCCGGUUCAAUUAAAGAACCAGAGCUUGCAUGAUGGUUUUGUAUCCAACUCACAUUGCAGCACAUGCCCAUGUAUUCAGGACUCGUGUAGAGUACAAUUCACUUCAAUAUGUUAGUGUCACCUUCUACUGCCAGGGCUGAUAAGGUUUCUAGUGUCAAGCCGUGAACCGUCAGUUUAGAUCCGAACGCCCAGCAUGGACCUUUAAAGGAAAAAAAACAGAUUAAAGCUAAGCACUUCCGAACCAUUCAAUGAAUGUUGAAAUUUCCGACUCUUCAGGAGCUGCCAAUAACAAAACUCACCUGUGUUUUUUUUGUUUGUCCUACUGCAUAUGUAGCUGUUCCAUUUAGUUCGCAGACAGCGAUUUCAAUUUUAAAUCAGAAGAACUAUUGAAGUUUUAUUAAAAAUAUAAUAAAACGAUUGAUAAAAGGAUAAUGGUUCAAAAAAUAAGCGUGUCAUACGAAUAUCGCCUACACAUAUGCAACGUUAAGUUUCAUCAAACUGCUUUAAAACAUUAAAAACCUAUGAUUGCAUAUGAGUAGGCGAUUUUUGCAAUACAUUGUCGUGAAUGCAACUAUAUCGGUAUCGGUAUAAUUUUGAAUACGGCGAAUGCGCCAACUGUAAACAGGUCCAGAUAAUCACCUAAAUGCGUUAAACUCUUUAUUUUACAUCCGAAAAUAUGAUCUCCUUUUAAUUUUUCUUAUUUUAGUGAUGUUAAGUUUAAUUUUUUAAAUAAGGCGAAUAGCUUUUUUUUAUGAGUGUGUAAUCCCACAGUUUCUUCGCUCAUUUACCCUUAAAAUUUCGUCGCGAACAAAAGGGCCAAUAGUUAUUUCGAGAUAGAAAAAGGGCAUAGAAGUUUUUGAAAUUUGUUUUCCAGGACGAGGAGAUGCACAAAUCAGAAUUUAUAAGAUCGUUGAAUGUGCUAAUGUUUUAAUGUGAUCAUUUGGACCCGCUUUCAAGCCGAAAUUUGCUUGAAUAUUGCUUCUUUAAUAAGUGAUCCAAAAGGCGAACAGCCAUUCUGCAAUUCAAAAGGGCGCUCCAAUUUGGCGAAUGAACAAAAUGAGAGCACCAGUCUGUGGUAAAAGGGCCCACAAUUAUAUUUAUUAAUUUUUUUAAGUAAUUAGUACGGAAAAGCUAUAUUGAUCGAUGAUGAAAUUAAAUCAAUUUGAAGGCUAAAUAUGAAAUUGAUUUUAUUUUCUGAAACUUGGAAUGCGUUUUUCUCAAAACAAAGGUCUUGGCGCAUUCGUCGUAUUCAAAAAUCAAUACCGAUAUAUUGCCCGACAUUGCACACACGCUAACUUUUGGCUACCCCUUAAAGGCGUAAUAUUGACCCGUUAUUGAGAACCUCCACGAUCUGUCAAAUAACGGGUCAUUAUAUCGGAUCAAUAUUACCCCUUAUUUCGAAAAGCUCGAUUCCUUUCAAAAGGGGUAGUUUUAGAUGCGUUACAUCCAAAGUGAUUGAUUUGGCACGAUGAGAGAGCAGCACAGCAAAGUUCCGGACUCCGGACGAACCAGAAGAAAACCAGAAGGAUUCAACAUGAACGGCAGUGGACUAACAUUGGUGGAUUCAACUUAUAGCGAGGAAACGGAGG